CCUACGGGUGACAGCAGUGAGGAAUAUUGGUCAAUGGACGAGAGUCUGAACCAGCCAAGUAGCGUGAAGGAUGACUGCCCUAUGGGUUGUAAACUUCUUUUAUAUGGGAAUAAACUGUUCCACGUGUGGGAUUUUGUAUGUACCCUAUGAAUAAGGAUCGGCUAACUCCGUGCCAGCAGCCGCGGUAAUACGGAGGAUCCGAGCGUUAUCCGGCUUUAUUGGGUUUAAAGGGAGCGUAGGUGGAUUGUUAAGUCAGUUGUGAAAGUUUGCGGCUCAACCGUAAAAUUGCAGUUGAAACUGGCAGUCUGGAGUACAGUAGAGGUGGGCGGAAUUCGUGGUGUAGCGGUGAAAUGCUUAGAUAUCACGAAGAACUCCGAUUGCGAAGGCAGCUCACUGGACUGCAACUGACACUGAGGCUCGAAAGUGUGGGUAUCAAACAGGAUUAGAUACCCUUGUAGUC
rnacentral:rRNA from 1 species